GUGAAGCAUCUUAAUGAUCUUGUGGAGAGUCCAGACUGCAGCCUGCAGACUCUGAGAUGGAAGUUAUGCUGAUCAGGAGGGUGUUUGUGCUGAGAGGAUGAACUGUGUCCUGAUGAUCCAGAGGCUGGACCAGACUCUGACUGGGCCGUGUUACUGGGAGGAACUGUGUUCUGCUGGAUGUGACAGAGCAUCAUCAGUGUCUGUGGACUGCUCUGCUGCUGCUCUGUCCUGCUACAGUCUCUGCAGACUCCCUGAGACUCCUCCACUCCUUCUGCUCCACACUCCUCCUCCACCUCCACCUGAUCUGCUCUCUCUGAUUCCACCACAGGUUCUGAACCGUGCGGCUGCAGAUCAGUCCUGUUCAUCACAACGUCCUGUGAGUUCACAGUGAAAGUUCUGCAGGUUGAACUGGUGCAAAGUUCCUGUACUGCUUAACGCUUCAGCGCCACCCUGUGGAAUGACGGUGCACUGCAGCUAAUUUUGUUUCUAACAUAACAUUUCUAAACGAUGUCCUGAGCUGAGAUGAAAGAGCUCCAUCCAGCCUCCUCUGGUCCAGACCUGUGAUGUAUGAGAAAACAAAACAUGAACACACAGUCACAUCAUGAUCAUAUGUCCUGUUGCCUUUUUUCAUCUGUGUGACAUUGACAAUAAGUCAAAUAUUGUUUUUCAUCAACUAUGAUCUCACAAAACAUCCACAAGUCACUAAUAUUGUAGAAAGUAAAUAUGAACACAUCCAGUAUGGAUCUGGUUGAAGCAUCAGUCUAGUACAACAACAAAAAAUCUAAAGCAAACUGUGUUAAUACACAAGAAAUGUAUUUUGAAUAAAAAAUCAGUCGGACACGUUACACUUACAGCUAAGUGUUGGAGUGGGUUGCAUAAUGUUGGUGGAAUAUGUUCAUUUCAAAGGUGAGCAAAAACUCAUCUAAUAAAAAAAGGAAAAGUAUACUCCACAAACAA